rnacentral:rRNA from 1 species
GUGGCGAACGGGUGAGUAACACGUGGGCAAUCUGCCUUCACUCUGGGACAAGCCCUGGAAACGGGGUCUAAUACCGGAUAACACUUCUCCAGGCAUCUGGAGGGGUUAAAAGCUCCGGCGGUGAAGGAUGAGCCCGCGGCCUAUCAGCUUGUUGGUGAGGUAGUGGCUCACCAAGGCGACGACGGGUAGCCGGCCUGAGAGGGCGACCGGCCACACUGGGACUGAGACACGGCCCAGACUCCUACGGGAGGCAGCAGUGGGGAAUAUUGCACAAUGGGCGAAAGCCUGAUGCAGCGACGCCGCGUGAGGGAUGACGGCCUUCGGGUUGUAAACCUCUUUCAGCAGGGAAGAAGCGAAAGUGACGGUACCUGCAGAAGAAGCGCCGGCUAACUACGUGCCAGCAGCCGCGGUAAUACGUAGGGCGCAAGCGUUGUCCGGAAUUAUUGGGCGUAAAGAGCUCGUAGGCGGUCUGUCACGUCGGAUGUGAAAGCCCGGGGCUUAACCCCGGGUCUGCAUUCGAUACGGGCAGACUAGAGUGUGGUAGGGGAGAUCGGAAUUCCUGGUGUAGCGGUGAAAUGCGCAGAUAUCAGGAGGAACACCGGUGGCGAAGGCGGAUCUCUGGGCCAUUACUGACGCUGAGGAGCGAAAGCGUGGGGAGCGAACAGGAUUAGAUACCCUGGUAGUCCACGCCGUAAACGGUGGGAACUAGGUGUUGGCGACAUUCCACGUCGUCGGUGCCGCAGCUAACGCAUUAAGUUCCCCGCCUGGGGAGUACGGCCGCAAGGCUAAAACUCAAGGAAUUGACGGGGGCCCGCACAAGCAGCGGAGCAUGUGGCUUAAUUCGACGCAACGCGAAGAACCUUACCAAGGCUUGACAUACACCUGGAAAGCAUUAGAGAUAGUGCCCCCCUUGUGGUCGGUGUACAGGUGGUGCAUGGCUGUCGUCAGCUCGUGUCGUGAG